CGGGUGAGUAAUGCGUGACCAACCUGCCCCAUGCUCCAGAAUAGCUCUUGGAAACGGGUGGUAAUGCUGGAUGCUCCAACUUGACGCAUGUAUUGUUGGGAAAGUGUUUAGUGGCAUGGGAUGGGGUCGCGUCCUAUCAGCUUGUAGGCGGGGUAAUGGCCCACCUAGGCUUCGACGGGUAGCCGGCCUGAGAGGGCGGACGGCCACAUUGGGACUGAGAUACGGCCCAGACUCCUACGGGAGGCAGCAGUC
rnacentral:rRNA from 1 species